ACUGCAUUCAUUUGGUUAACUCCAUUACAUUCCUGACAUGCCUGUAGAUGAAAAGGUGUCAGAAGGUAAAUCAUUCACUGCAGGAUGUCCUGUAUCUCAGAACACAUCCUACACAGUCAAGGCAGCAGAAAGGGUGGAAGCUUCGAGCUCCUGGACAUCCACAUCUCACAGGAUCUAUUCUGGGUCAAGCAUAUUGAUGCAAUCAUGCCAAUGACAAAACUUCAUUCUGAAUUUGAGGAGAUUUGGCAUGGAAUGGUCCACUUGCUCAGAGCUGAGAUUGGAGUUGAAGAUUGUGCAAUCAAUGGUGAACAUCUCCGUUUGUGGUCGUAUGUAUAACAAGAUGAGGUGAUUGAUGAAGCAAGUGAAGGUGGUUUGGCUCAGGAACACUGCCUUGAGGAACUCCUUCUAGGGGCUGGGUUACUUGGUUUCCAAUGAUUGUCAUCAUCUUCCUUUUUUCAAGGCAUUCCCAGGAUAAAAAAAGAAAUGCAACAGAACUCUACGAAAAAACUACACAUAAACAAAGGCUGACAAACAACCAACGUGCAAAAGACAAACUGUGCAAGUAAAAACAUAAUCCUGAGAACGUGAGUUUUUUUAUCACGAGCUUGAGAAUUUUAAAAUCAAUCUAUCACCUACCCAGGUAUGGGAAACAAGAGAAAAUAAGGAGGCAGGCACAUUGGGGGAAAAAGUGUUAAAAUAAGAGGUUGAAGUGCAGAGGCAGUGUGAGAUGAAGUGAGAGUGAAAAUCUCGGGGGGGGGGAGGUGUGUGUGUGUGUGUGUGUGUGUGAGACAGAGCACAGAUUUGACGACGACACAAAGAUGGAUAGACACUGUAGCUGUGUAGAUGGAAGCAAUUAAUUGGAAAGAGGUAAUAGUUGCAUAAAUAGCUGUAUUUCUAAGUUGGGAAGUAUGAAAUCAUACUCUGAACAGAAAAAGAGUGGAACAAAGCAAAUUCUAGAUGAACAGAGCCUAUUGCACAUGAAUCAGUAAAAUGUCUUGGAAAAGAUAAAGAUUAAAUGUAAUAAAGAUUAACUUUAUUUGUCAAACGUACAUCAAAACAUACAGUUAAAUCUGUCAUUUGCAUCAGCAACCAACACAGUCUGAGAAAUUGCUGGGGCACCACACAUCUGGCACUAACAUAGCGUGCCCACAAUUUACUAACUAACCCCAAUACACACGUCUUCAAAAUGUGGGAGAAAGUCAGAGGAAACCCACAUGGACACAUGAAAAACAUACAGACUCCUCACAGACAGCAGCGGGAAUUGCUGGCACUGAAACAGAAUCAAAGUAACCGCCACACUACUGAACCAUACUAUGUAAGGAACAGAACAUAGUCCAAAUUCUUGACAAAUAGAUGCCCUUAUAUCUAGAGUAUGUAAGAGAUAGGUUAGAUAAUGCAUGAACCACACCAUAGAAAGUAUAACUAUUCUUGGUCGAACAGCAAUAUUAGAAAGAUAGCUGAAUACCAAGGAUUAAAUUGUAAUGAGGGAAUAUACCCAGUGGCCACUGAGUGCACGUUUGUGGUCUUCUGCUGUUUCAAGGUUUGACAUGCUGUGCAUUCAGAGAAGCUCUUCUGCACACCACUGUUGUAACGUGUGGUUAUUUGAGUUACUGUCACCUUCCUGUCUGCUUGUACCAGUCUGGCCAUUCUCCUCUGACCUCUCUCAUUAACAAGGUGUUUUCACCCACAGAAAUACUGCUCACUGGAUGUUUUUUUUUUGUUUUUCACACCAUUCUCUGUAAACUCUAUAGACUGCUGUGUGUGAAAAUACCAGGAGAUCAGCAGUUUCUGAGAUACUCAAACCAUCCCAUCUGGCACCAACAAUCAUUCCACGGUCAAAGUCACUUAGAUCACAUUUCUUCCCCAUUCUGAUGUUUGGUCUGAAUAACAACUGAGCCUCUUGACCAUGUCUGCAUGCUUUUAUGCAUUGAGUUGCUGCCACAUGAUUGGCUGAUUAGAUAUUUGCAUUAAAGAACAGGUGUACAGGUGUACCUAAUAAAGUGGCCACUGAGUGUAUAUACACUAGAACACAAAGGCAGAGUACUGAGAAUACUGGCAGAUCCAAAUAAAAAGAAACAGCGAUAUUCUUUUGGCCAGGUGGCAUCAUUAGAGAACACUUCAGGUCAAUGAUUUUGUUUUGAAGAAACAUCAUUGUCCCUAACUUGCUCUCUCUGUCUAUCUGUCUGUGUGUGUCUCUCUCUAUUAAUCUACUUAGAGAUAUAGAACGGUAACAGGUCCCUCUGAUCUAAUGAGCGCACACCAACCAAUUACACCCAUGCGACUAAUUAUCUUACUAACCAGUAUGUCUUUAGACUGUGGGAGGAAAUUGGAGCACCUGGAGGAAACACACACUGGCAUGGGGAGAAUGUACAAACUCCUUACAGACACUUGUACUAUAAUAGUGUUAUGCUAACUGCUACGCUACCUUGUCACCCUGUAUAUUCUCUUCUGAAUACUUUUAGCCAUUCCACAAAAUUUAGUCAAGUUUUGAAAUUAUUAGGGAUAGACAGGGUGAAUAUAUUCCUGUUGUUUGGAGCAUUGUCUAAAUAUUAAAACCAGGGUUAUCAGAAGUGCAGUUAAGAAACCCUUAUGGACAGAGGAGAUUUAAAAAUUGUUAAUUUUAAUGCUGAGAUUAACAGUCCUAUUACCUCAGAUUUUAAGGGAUAUGGAAGAAAGGUCCCAUGUGGAGAUUGGUCACAGGUCAGCCAUGAUCUCAUUGAAUGGUAGAACAGGCUUGAGGGACUAAGUGGCCUCAUCCUUCUCUUUUGUUCCAAAUAAAUUGCACAGCAGUACUUAUCUAAAAAUGCAGACUGCAAGACAGGUUUUUCUGAAGUGUUACCAGAUAUCAUAUGAUGCUUUAUUAAAGCACACUAUUUAAAGCUUCCAAACUCAACUGUCACAGUGGGCUGCAGUUGAGAUGGGGAGGGGUUUUGCAAAUAUUUAUUCACCCAGUAGUUGUCAGUGGUCUGGAAGUUACAGCUAUAAAGGACAGUGGAAGCAAAGACUCACAUUGUCAUUAAAAACUACCUCUGUAACAAUGAUAUUUUAACCUAGAGACCGAUAGACCACAAGCUGGAGGGGCCAAUUCAAGUCAAAAAGGACAUGAUGGGCUGAAUAGUUUCUUUCUGUGCCUCAGCAUUCUUUGACUCUUUGAGACCCAGAUGGGUGGUUGUUUGUGUGUAGUGUUUCAUUGAUUCUAUUUUAUUUCUUUAUUCUACUGUAAAUGCCAACAAAAAUAUAAAUUUCAGGGCAGUAAAUGGUGUCAUAUACAUACUUUUACUUUGGACUUUAUUUCCUGAACAACCUGGAGCUUAUAGAUUGUAGAGGUAAGUAAGGAGAAGAAUCGAGAUGGUGAUGCUAGCUUUGAAGUGAUUCGCUGUUGUUAAUUUCUGAUCACCCCAACUACGUAACAAAUGCAGAGGCUCAC